AUUUCGUGAACAGAUAAUUCGAAAGAUUGAACAUCGUCUAAAAGUGAAGAUAUACCAGGAUGAUGAUUACAUCCUAGGGAAGAAAUCCAUGCGGCGUUUAGGCUACACCAUCGAUUCUCCCGGACACGUUAGCUAUGGUUGUGAGGACAGCCGAAGUCAAAUAUAAACUCUCGCGCAGAAGGUACCCACCGACGACGGCGAAGGGGCAGUUCAGGGCGACGUUUCUGUAGACCCCCACGAUCGUUGAGACGAUCCGCCUUAUGGCUUCGAUCGGAUUGGCGCUGCUAAGUCCGUUCUGAACAGCUUCUUGGAUAGCAGCGGGCAGAUCUUGCUGUGAGCUGAUCGUGCUAGCUACUCUUUUCCUUGCCUCGUUGAACGUACCUUCCAUCCCGCGGAAAAAUGGGUUGAAUGGCAAAUUUGGGAUUCUGGGGAUUGUGAGAUCCAAGGAAACCGAAAAAUUAGGAUUCUCCGCCGUAUUGUCUUCGAUAUUCGAGUUAUUUGAGGACUCCGCCUGUCUGGGAAAUCUAGGAUUAUAUCUGGAAUUGAAGAAAUCCAAGUACUCCGAAGGAAUCCCUGGCAAAUUUGGGAUUUUUGGGAUUCCUGGAAUAUUCGGGAUUUUUGGUAUUCCUGGAAUAUUCGGGAUUUUUGGUAUUCCUGGUAAAUUCGGGAUUUUUGGUAUUUCCGGUAAAUUUGGGAUUUUGGGGAUUUCUGGCAAAUCUGGGAUUUCGGGAAUUUCUAGAUCCGAUGAUUCAGGGUUCUCCGCCGCAUUGUCCUCGGAAUCUGAGGACUCUGCCUGUCUAGGAAGUCUACGAUUUUCGGAAUCACCAGUUCGAGCUCUGAGAGACAUGGGGAAUAUCGCAUCGAAGAAAUUUGUAAGAUCAGGCAAAUUGGGGAUUUUGGGAAUUCCUGGAAUAUUCGGGAUUUUCGGUAUUCCUGGUAAACUCGGGAUUUUGGGAAUUUCCGGCAAGUUUGGGAUUUUGGGGAUUCGACGAUUCAGGGUUCUCUGCCGCAUUGUCUUCGGAAUCUGAAGACUCCGCCUGUCUGGGGAAUCUACGAUUUCUGAAAUCACCUGGCCCACGCCUGACAGGUGGAGGGAGUAUCGCAUUGGCCGAACGCUGAAAAUUAUCCAAUAAAUCGUAGAAGAGCUGUGGUCCCGGAAUCAGAGGAGCCCCACCAGGAGGGCGAGGAAUGGGACGUUGACCUCCUGGAAAAGGUGGUCGGGGAUGGUGCCAAUCAUGCAAACCAGGAAAAGGUGGUACGAAGGGCCGUCUUGGGUUCCUAGUCUAUAAAAACCAAAUGAAUAAUUUCUCGUAUAAGUUCUCGUCGAAAAAAAUUAAUUUUACCAUCAGACUACCGAUUGUAACUUACCGUAGUUGAUGUUGUAGGUGCGGAUGUUGUUGUAGGUGCGGAAGUUGUAGUAGAUGGUUCGGUUGUCUACACGGAAGAAUAAUAAUUGUGUCAUUGCAUGAAAUUUAGACACAUCAAAAAAAAAUAAUUCAAACUCACCGUAGUUGCUUGCGCAGUAGUAGAAGCACUAGUAGCUGCUUCGGUCGUCUAUAAAAAAUUAUGAACGUUAU
rnacentral:misc_RNA from 1 species